rnacentral:rRNA from 1 species
AGUGAACGCUGGCGGUAGGCCUAACACAUGCAAGUCGAACCGCAGCACAGUAAGAGCUUGCUCUUACGGGUGGCGAGUGGCGGACGGGUGAGGAAUACAUCGGAAUCUACUUUUUCGUGGGGGAUAACGUAGGGAAACUUACGCUAAUACCGCAUACGACCUACGGGUGAAAGCAGGGGAUCUUCGGACCUUGCGCGAUUGAAUGAGCCGAUGUCGGAUUAGCUAGUUGGCGGGGUAAAGGCCCACCAAGGCGACGAUCCGUAGCUGGUCUGAGAGGAUGAUCAGCCACACUGGAACUGAGACACGGUCCAGACUCCUACGGGAGGCAACAGUGGGGAAUAUUGGACAAUGGGCGCAAGCCUGAUCCAGCCAUACCGCGUGGGUGAAGAAGGCCUUCGGGUUGUAAAGCCCUUUUGUUGGGAAAGAAAAGCAGCAGGUUAAUACCCCGCUGUUCUGACGGUACCCAAAGAAUAAGCACCGGCUAACUUCGUG